UCCAGUGAUUGAAGUUUUAGAAAACAUCUGUGUGAGCCUCUCCUGAAGGCAGAGCACAUACAGGCUGAGGAACUUCCUCCAGAACAGGUGCCCCAGGGAAUAAGAGACUCCUGAAGCUCAGGCUACUUCCCACAUGACAAUCACAGCCAAGGAGAUAGAGAAGACUCUGGGAAAAGGAAGCAGUUACAGCUCCAAAUUAAAUAGGUGCAACUCUGAAAGCUUAGUGGGGCCUCCACAUUUUUAUAGCUGACUGCAUAGGAUGCAUGGUAUUGUUCUGUCCAGAA